rnacentral:rRNA from 1 species
UCAGGAUGAACGCUAGCUACAGGCUUACACAUGCAAGUCAGGGGCAGCAUGUGGUUGCUUGCAACCAAUGAUGGCGACCGGCGCACGGGUGAGUAACGCGUAUCCAACUCCCCUAGUAGAGGAUAGCCCGGCGAAAGUCGGAUUAAUACUCUAUGUUCUUCAAUGCGGACAUCUAAGUUGAAGCAAAGAUUUAUCGCUAAGGGAUGGGGAUGCGUCUGAUUAGGUUGCAGGCGGGGUAACGGCCCACCUGGCCUACGAUCAGUAGGGGUUCUGAGAGGAAGGUCCCCCACACUGGUACUGAGACACGGACCAGACUCCUACGGGAGGCAGCAGUGAGGAAUAUUGGUCAAUGGGCGCGAGCCUGAACCAGCCAAGUAGCGUGCAAGGACGACUGCCCUAUGGGUUGUAAACUGCUUUUAUCAGGGAAUAAAGUGAGGCACGCGUGCCUUUUUGUAUGUACCUGAUGAAUAAGGACCGGCUAAUUCCGUGCCAGCAGCCGC